CCACGUUGAUAGGCAGGAUGUGUAAGGUCGGUGACGGCCUCAGCAGACCUGUACUAAUUGCCCGAAAGACUUUCGUUG
rnacentral:rRNA from 1 species